rnacentral:lncRNA from 1 species
GAAAUAUAUCCCUUCUUGUAUAGUCCAUUUUGUAAUAUAAGUGUCUUAAAGUUGUCGGUACAGUCAGAGGCAAGUCUUACUCCUGUUUUUAUUCCAGAUGGUAAUAGGGAAAUGGAUCACAGAGCCCCAGAGCAGCUGAGGUUGGAAGGGACCUCUGCAGAUUAUCUAGUCCAACCCACCUGCCCAAGCAGGGUCACCUGCAGCAAAAUGAAAUUAAAGGAACGAGCUGGUUCUCAGGCUUUCCUCUGGCUAGUGGAAGGAAACAUCUCUGGGCUGGUUAGUGAAUCACAGUCCGUGAUGGAGGCCCCUGACCCAACCUGCUAGUCAUGCUUGAAAUUAGCCGUUGAACUGAUCAGAUCUGGUAAUUCUGGCUCUCUGUACCAAAAAAUGCUAGCACAGAUUAAUUAUGUGCCCUUGCGCCCUAAUUUCUGCUUGCAGCCCCAUCCCCACCAUAUCUAGGUAGCAGAAAUGCCUUUCUUAAUUUCCAGAUCACCACGCUGUCACCUCCUGAAGAAAGGAGGGUCGGUCCUUCAUGGUCUCCUUGCCAAAGCUGCCGCUCAGGUUGCAAGAUGUACAUUGUUUUUGCCUGUCUGCGUGCAGACAUAACACCUAAAACUUCAAAGUGAUAGCAAAAGUAAAAUACAGGUUCUUCUGCUACAGAAGGUGUCUUGAUAGCUCCUUGCUGGAUGUUCUUUCUACCAUCUGGCAGAAGGAGAUGGUGCACAUGCAUGCAUACAGAUACCCACAGGCAGCCACUUUGCAACACUGACUGUACGGUGUGCAAAGACUUUUUCUUCCUUAAGAGGCAGCGUGCUUCACAUUUCGUUUCAUUAAAGUCAGAACAAUUCAUGCCAAAGGGAUCAAGAACCUAAUGGAAAAAUCAGUCUUGGAAAAUGCAUAUUUGGAAAGGGUUACUACCACACUGGGCGGUUGGCAUUGCUUUGCUUAUUAGAUUUGCUAGUGCUUGAGAGUGAUGGAAUGCUUCAGCAGUGCAGUAAUAUUAAAGCAGCUGAAUGGCUUGGGUUUCCCCUUUACUCCUAGGUGAAAGGCAGAGGAAAGAAAUGCUUUAAGAGGAAAGCAGCAAGAUGAGAAUUUGCUGCUUGCCACCAUCAGCUCUGGGAGGAAUUUGACCAAAAUGAAGGACUGGCACUGGCAAAUAUCAGCUUUGCCUUGGGGAGUGUAGAGUUAAUUAGAAAGCCAGAGCCAGCCUUGCAAAAAUCGCAUCUGUGCUGUCAUGUACACCAAGUAACCCAAAAGAAUGUGGUUUGUCUCCAUAAUAGUGACUUACAGGGCCAAAUAACACUUCUCCAAACCUUUGGCUAACAGCCAUAGAAGUCUUCUUUAAACAGAUGCUGUCAACAUGAAAAAUCAUUAUAUGUAUUCGUUUGGAGAUAUAUAUCUUUAUUAAUGUUCCUAACCUGUGUUACUAAAAUAAACUCUUUUUGCUUUAAGCCUCA